rnacentral:rRNA from 1 species
CAAUAGCGUAUAUUUAAGUUGCUGCAGUUAAAAAGCUCGUAGUUGGAUUUCGGGUGGGAAUGGCCGGUCCGCCGUUUCGGUGUGCACUUGCUACGCCCACCUUGCUGCCGGGGACGUGCUCUUGAGUUCACGCUCGGGACACGGAGUCGGCGAGGUUACUUUGAGUAAAUUAGAGUGUUCAAAGCAGGCCUACGCUCUGAAUACAUUAGCAUGGAAUAACACGAUGGGACUCUGGCCUAUCUUGUUGGUCUGUAGGACCGGAGUAAUGAUUAAGAGGGACAGUCGGGGGCAUUCGUAUUUCAUUGUCAGAGGUGAAAUUCUUGGAUUUAUGAAAGACGAACUACUGCGAAAGCAUUUGCCAAGGAUGUUUUCAUUAA